rnacentral:lncRNA from 1 species
AUAUCAGGGAGCCUCUGAAGACGAGCACACUGUGUGUUAUCUAUUCGUAACAGUUUCAUUGUGGAACAUCUUAUCUCUUACCUCUGAAGUAAUUUGUAACUAUUUCUUUCUGGGAAGUCUUCAACAUCUUUCUCCAAGCAUGAAUUAAAAUUAAUUGAUCAUUCUUCUGUCAUUCUACACCACUUGGCAUAUAUCCACAAUAUUAUUAUUGGAUUGGACAGCUUUAUAGUAGUCAUUGAGGUACAAACUACAAUUAAAAUGUGUGUGGGAGGACAUCAAAUUUUGGACAUCAUAAAUGCAAUUUCAAGCACUUCGUUUAGAAGAGAGAAAGAAAAGAAUCCAAAAAUGUUUCUAAAAAAUGGGCUACCUUGGCAUGUGUAUACAUCUCAAUGGAGGAGGUGGUUUGGAAAAGAAAUCAUGACAACUAGAGGACACUUCCAGAUGGUUUCAUUUGUUCUGAGCUUGGAGCUAAAACAUCGAGGGAUACAUAGAAUAAACGAGAUUUGAAAAUUUGCUCACUCACAAAUAGCUCAUAAACUCCACUCAAAUUUUAGACAUGGGAAGGAUUUUUACAGAAUGAACACAUAAUCAAAGACGAAGAGAAUGAAAGAAGAUGUGAGUCACACGAUUUCAGAAGCUAGAAAAGCAGGAGGCCGAAAGGAUCUUGAGUCAACAGGCUUAACAACCUGAUCUCUAAGCCUGUAGGGUAAAACGGCAGGAAGCUACCAAUUAAAUACCACACAACAAUCAAACACACAAAAGUUGAUAGCACUUGUAACUUUGGAAGUGGCAAUAAAACUGGGACUAAAAAGAGAAAGAUUGAUCA